UUCCAUCGUUAAGUCAAGGCUCCUUCUGCAUUUUCGUGCAUCUCGCAAUGGAAGGAAGUCUGUUACAACUUUGGUAGAUUGAGUCCUUGCUCGCCGCUCUUGGUUUUCGGAUCUUGAGUAGGCGGCUCACCGUCUUGGCGAGCCUGCCGCAUAGAGUUUGGUAGUGUUCCGUUUGAGUUGAAGGCCACUUCCACCCUUCCGUUGGUGGCUUGUGGUGGUUUUCUUAGUAAUGUUUCAUACAUCG
rnacentral:snoRNA from 1 species